rnacentral:rRNA from 1 species
GACGUAGGUGGCGACCGUUGUCCGGAAUUACUGGGCGUAAAGAGCUCGUAGGUGGUUUGUCGCGUUGUUCGUGAAAACUCACAGCUCAACUGUGGGCGUGCGGGCGAUACGGGCAGACUGGAGUACUGCAGGGGAGACUGGAAUUCCUGGUGUAGCGGUGGAAUGCGCAGAUAUCAGGAGGAACACCGGUGGCGAAGGCGGGUCUCUGGGCAGUAACUGACGCUGAGGAGCGAAAGCGUGGGGAGCGAACAGG